rnacentral:lncRNA from 1 species
CUUUAUUUAGUCCUUGAAAAGGGAAACCUACAGUGCCUUUGUCUACAAAUAUUCUUCUUUGGAUGGAAGUUUAGAUGACUUGCUCCCUCUAAAAGAAGAGGGAUGCUUAUUGAAGUUCCUUUCUGAACAAGGGUAAGAUUGCAUGUGUAAAAGUUUAGAAGUUUUUAAUGUUGGUUCUUUGGGGAGAGAACAAAAUAGAGUUUUUAUACUACAAUUCAAUUUAUAGUUCUGUAUUAUGCUUUGGUCGCUUUCCCAAGGCAAUUUAUCUUGCCUCAUUCGCUUUUCCUAUAUGUUAGGGUAAAGUCGUUUGGUGAGGCUUGAGAUGAGAAAUUAGUCAGAUAUUCACAAAUUUCCAGGAAUUAGAAAAAUUGAUGUCUGUGUGCUGAACUUCAUUGUUUCUUGGAUCUGACCAGUUGUUGAUGUUAUGUAAAAAUUAUGGGUUAAUGAAUGAAACAAUCUUAAGAAAAUAAGUAUUCUUUUCUAAAUUUGAUUUUAUGGAUUCAAAUCCUCUAGGACAUAUGAUUCUUGGGACUUCAAUGCCUUACAAAAGAAUAAACCCUAGUGAUUUUCAUCUCGAGGCUUUUGACGUUCUGUUAAACUGCAAUUUUCUUGUUCGUAUAUUUAUUUCAAUAGCGAUUGUUUUGUCUGUUCUUUUCGUGUAAAUUUCUUGCCCCAUGUAAUUAUCUACUGAUAAUAUAACUUAGACGGUAUCUUUCUUCUGUCUCUUUUAUGGCCACAGUACAAGCGUUGUCCAGUUACAUUAAUGCCUGCAACAGUGGAGCAAAUCAGGAGGCUUUUUCACGAUAUGUAAAACCUAUUGUUUGACCUCGACUGGGAUGAUUCAGCACAUUCCUUUGGAGUUUACAGCAUGUUCAAACUCGAGUAUUGCCAGCUUAAGGUGCAAAUUAAAGCACUGCAUAGGAAAGGAAUGGUGUUGAUCUCCUGCUCUCUCCACUCACUCAAGGGGGGGUAAGCGUAUUAUUGGCUUAGCUCUCACUUAGAUGGUAUUUAUUGAAAUUGAUGAAACCAUAGUAAAAUACCCUUUUCUCAAGCAAUUCGUGGAUCCAUGCUUUGUAGGAAAGCUAUAUUCUAGGGUAGAGAUGAUUUGUGUUAAACAUGUUAUUUUUCUCUGUUAUGAUGAAAGAGAAAUUGAUGUAUUCACCUUUUGUCCUUUAAAAUUAUUCGAAGUCUUGUUUCAUAGUUUGCCAUCUUGUUUUUCUUUUGCUCCAAAUGGGGCGAUUUUGUCUUACGUUAUUUACUUGCAGCUUUGAGUGGUGGUCCUUGUCACUUAGUUCUCCGCUAACUCAUCUCACGCAUGUCUGUUAAGAGGAG